rnacentral:rRNA from 1 species
GAUGAACGCUAGCGGGAGGCCUAACACAUGCAAGCCGAGCGGUAUUGUUUCUUCGGAAAUGAGAGAGCGGCGUACGGGUGCGUAACACGUGUGCAACCUGCCUUUAUCUGGGGGAUAGCCUUUCGAAAGGAAGAUUAAUACUCCAUAAUAUAUUGAACGGCAUUGUUUAAUAUUGAAAGAUCCGGCGGAAAGAGAUGGGCACUCGCAAGAUUAGCUAGUUGGUGAGGUAACGGAUCACCAAGGCGAUGAUCUUUAGGGGGCCUGAGAGGGUGAUCCCCCACACUGGUACUGAGACACGGAACAGACUCCUACGGGAUGCAGCAGUGAGGAAUAUUGGUCAAUGGGUGCAAGCCUGAACCAGCCAUCCCGCGUGAAGGACGACUGCCCUAUGGGUUGUAAACUUCUUUUGUAUAGGGAUAAACCUACCCUCGUGAGGGUAGCUGAAGGUACUAUACGAAUAAGCACCGGCUAACUCCGUGCCAGCCGCCGCGGUAA